ACGCCUUAGCCGUACUACAGGUGGCUCCUUUUGUUUGAAUUAUGGAUAGUGAACUUAAGCCAAUUCUCCAUGUUGAGAUACUUAGAAAGAGAAGAAGUCCACAUGACCAGAGAUUCCUCAUUGAGGAAGUUCAUGGCCUCCUUCAGGAGAUGAAAAAUGUCAGCAUAGACAGCAUCGUGAUGGAUUUUGCUAAAUCCUCACUUCAUGAGCACAUCAUCCACAUAAAAAUAUGUGAACUUGACUCUGCUUGUGACUUGAAGCACAUAGACAUAGCUAUGGUGCAGCCAGAGUAUCAUGUGUAUCACCUAGAGUGUUAUGGACCAGGUAUUGAGGAGCUGGGUGAGGGAGAAGAAGAUAUUCCUGCAGCUACACAUUGGAUGUUGCCUUCAACUGAGUUUGAAGAUAUGUGGGAAAAUCUCAUAUAUGACACUCCAAUUAAGGAACAGCUCCUCAAGUUUGUUCGCACCACCCUUCUGUUUUCUGACAAAGGAAUGAAUAAGAACAUUAUCUCUUGGAACAAAGUGAUUCUGUUGCAUGGUCCACCUGGAACUGGGAAAACUUCACUGUGCAGAGCCUUGUCUCAAAAACUGAGUAUCAGACUAGACUCGAGAUAUAAGUAUGCUCAACUGGUUGAGAUCAACUCUCAUUCCCUCUUUUCAAAAUGGUUUUCUGAGAGUGGCAAAUUGGUGCAGAAGAUGUUCACCAAAAUUACAGAGCUAGCAGGUGAUCCUCAGUCACUGGUGAUUGUUCUUAUUGAUGAGGUGGAAAGUCUAACUCGUGCUCGUGAAUCCUCAUUAAAUGGAGCAGAUCCAAGUGAUGCUGUUCGAGUUGUAAAUGCUGUCCUUACUCAACUUGACCAGGUCAAUAAGUACCCAAAUGUCCUCAUUGUUACUACCUCCAAUAUAUCUGGUACAAUUGACCUUGCCUUUGUGGAUCGUGCAGAUAUAAAACAGUACAUAGGCCUCCCCUCUCGAGCUGCAAUCUACCAGAUCUACUAUUCGUGCAUCAAUGAAAUGAAAAGACCGGAGGACAGUGGCCGCAGCUCCUCUGUCCGAGACUUCCCAUCCGCUGAGUUACAACAUGGUGCCCAAUCAGAGGCAGUACGCAGAGCCCUCUGGUGACAAGAAUUCCCACCACGCCACUGCCCACCAAAUUCAAAACAGUUCUGCCGCUCCUCUCCUGAUCAUUGGAUCCCUGAAGUAUCAACAAAACAUGCGGGGUAUUUCCCCUAUAUGUAAUUGUCGGCUGUGUGAAGCAAUGUUUAUUAAGGUGAUUCUGUUAAAUUCCACGCCAAAUGCACCGCUUGGCACAUGGGGUUUGUUUAAAUCUGCUCAGUCUGUGUUUUGCCGCCACCACGUGUGCUGUUCACUGCCACCCUCUCAGUCAACUA
rnacentral:misc_RNA from 1 species